rnacentral:rRNA from 1 species
UCAUAUGCUUGUCUCAAAGAUUAGGCCAUGCAUGUCUAAGUACGUGGCUAAGAAAGGUGAACCGGCGAAUGCCUCAUUAAAUCAGUUAUGGUUCCUUAGAUCGUACCUUACUACCUGGAUAACUGUGGUAAUUCUAGAGCUAAUACAUGCAGCAGAGCUCCGACCUUCGGGGACGAGCGCUUUUAUUAGACCAAGACCAAUCGGACUUCGGUCCGAAGCUCAUGGUGACUCUGGAUAACUUUGGGCUGAUCGCACGGUCUCGUACCGGCGACGCAUCUUUCAAGUGUCUGCCUUAUCAACUUUCGAUGGUAGGUUAUGCGCCUACCAUGGUCGUAACGGGUAACGGGGAAUCAGGGUUCGAUUCCGGAGAGGGAGCCUGAGAAACGGCUACCACAUCCAAGGAAGGCAGCAGGCGCGCAAAUUACCCACUCCCGGCACGGGGAGGUAGUGACGAAAAAUAACAAUACGGGACUCUAUUGAGGCCCCGUAAUUGGAAUGAGUACACUCUAAAUCCUUUAACGAGGAUCUAUUGGAGGGCAAGUCUGGUGCCAGCAGCCGCGGUAAUUCCAGCUCCAAUAGCGUAUAUUAAAGUUGUUGCGGUUAAAAAGCUCGUAGUUGGAUCUCAGUUCCAGACGGGUGGUCCACCUUUGGUGGUUACUGCCUGGCCUGAACAAAUCCAGCCGGUUUUCCUUGAUGCUCUUCACCGAGUGUCUUGGGUGACCGGCACGUUUACUUUGAAAAAAUUAGAGUGCUCAAAGCAGGCGUGACGCCUGAAUAAUGGUGCAUGGAAUAAUGGAAUAGGACCUCGGUUCUAUUUUGUUGGUUUUCCGAACACGAGGUAAUGAUUAAGAGGGACAGACGGGGGCAUUCGUAUUGCGACGCUAGAGGUGAAAUUCUUGGACCGUCGCAGGACGAACUACU